rnacentral:rRNA from 1 species
UACGAAGGGGGCUAGCGUUGCUCGGAAUCACUGGGCGUAAAGCGCACGUAGGCGGCUUAUUAAGUCAGAGGUGAAAUCCUGGAGCUCAACUCCAGAACUGCCUUUGAUACUGAUGAGCUUGAGUUCGGGAGAGGUGAGUGGAACUGCGAGUGUAGAGGUGAAAUGCGUAGAUAUCGAGAGGAACACCUGCGGCGAAGGCGGGUUGCUGGGCUGAUACUGACGCUGAGGCGCGAAAGCCAGGGGAGCGAACGGG